rfam:Picea glauca, whole genome shotgun sequence.
AUGUAAUGUAAUUCCUACAAUGUUCAAGCAUUGGAUCCCAUUAUAAAUCCACAUUUAAGAGUUCUUGGGUUAGAGUAGCACUAGGAUGGGUGACCUCACUAGAAUUCCUAGUGUUUUACAUG